GGAGUAAGGAGAAAGAUCCCUUAUAAAGUUGUGUUGUAUAGAAUAAAAGGCGUUUGAUUUAACAAACAAAUUUAAUUGGAUUAUAACAUUUAAUAAUAAAGAAAGUAAAACUUUUGCUCUUGGAAGUUAAUAUCUCGGGUAGUAUUAGUUAAGGGUAAUACUUAGCUAGCUUAAUACGCGUAGUCGUGACUGGAAGGUUGAUCGACCACAGUGGGACUGAAUAAAUCCCAUGACGAUUGUCUCAGCAGUGAGGAAUAUUGGUCAAUAGCCUAACGGCUGAACCAGCAACUUGGAGGAAUGUAUAGCGAAAGCUACUUGCAUUUAGCUUAGUUAAAGCUAAGUUGGUGCAGGAUUGACUAUGUCAAAUAAAGUUCUAGGUGGGUUAUGAUGAUGACAUUUCCUAUCUAUGUGUCUUGACCAAAUUACGUGCCAGCAGUCGCGGUAACACGUAAAAGACUAGUGUUAUUCAUCUUUAAUAGGUUUAAAGGGUACCUAGACGGUAAAUCAAGUCCAAGAAGGGUACUAAUUUUACUAGAGUUUAAUGUGAGGGGGCACUAAAGUACUGAUAAGUGUAGAGAUGAAAUUCUGUGAUACAAUAUACGGCACUGGCAAAGGCGAAAGCAUCUCAUUAUGUAAUAACUGACGUUGAGGGACGAAGGCUAGGUGUAGCAAAAAGGAUUAGAUACCCAAGUAGUCUUAGCAGAAAAUUAUGAAUGUCAUAGGAUGGAAAGUUGGAUGGACAAACAACAAAUUUUUUUUCUAUAAAUGAAAGUGUAAGCAUUCCACCUCGAGAGUAAUUUGGCAACAUUGGAACUGAAAUCAUUAGACCGUUUCUGAAACAAGUAGUGAAGUAUGUUGUUUAAUUUGAUGGUCCGCAAAAAACCUUACCACAAUUUGAAUAGAAAUUUUUUUUCAUACAAGCGCUGCACGGUUGUCUUCAGUUAAUGUCGUGAGAUCUUGGUUAGUUCCAUUAAAUUAACGUAAACCCUUACUUUAUUUUUAUAUAGAGUAGUUCACCGCUAGAUUGGAUGUGAUAACAGGGA
rnacentral:rRNA from 1 species